CAGCAGUGGGGAAUUUUGGACAAUGGGGGCAACCCUGAUCCAGCCAUGCCGCGUGAGUGAAGAAGGCCUUCGGGUUGUAAAGCUCUUUCGUGAGGGAAGAAACGGCCAUAGUGAAUAGCUAUGGGAGCUGACGGUACCUCAAGAAGAAGCACCGGCUAACUCGUG
rnacentral:rRNA from 1 species